GACGAACGCUGGCGGCGUGCUUAACACAUGCAAGUCGAGCGGUAAGGCCCUUCGGGGUACACGAGCGGCGAACGGGUGAGUAACACGUGGGUGACCUGCCUCUAGCUCUGGGAUAAGCCUGGGAAACUGGGUCUAAUACCGGAUAUGACUCCACGGCGCAUGUUGUGGGGUGGAAAGCCUUGUGUGGCUAGAGAUGGGCCCGCGGCCUAUCAGCUUGUUGGUGGGGUGAUGGCCUACCAAGGCGACGACGGGUAGCCGGCCUGAGAGGGCGACCGGCCACACUGGGACUGAGACACGGCCCAGACUCCUACGGGAGGCAGCAGUGGGGAAUCUUGCGCAAUGGGCGAAAGCCUGACGCAGCGACGCC
rnacentral:rRNA from 1 species